rnacentral:rRNA from 1 species
AUGGGGAGAGGCUCCCCUCCCGCUCCCGCCCCGCGCCUCGCGCCCGGGCUGCCGGCCCUGCUCGCCGCCGCGCUGCUGCUGCUGCUGCUGCCGGCCCCGGCCGCCGGGGUCAACGUGACGGCCGUGCUCGCGGCGUUCCCCGGCUUCUCCGACUUCGCGCGGCUGCUCGCGUCCUCCCCGGUGGCCGCGGAGCUGGCGGGGCGGUCGUCGCUCACGCUGCUGGCCGUGCCCAACGCCAACCUGCCGCGCUCGCCCUCCGCCUUCGCCGCGGCCGCCGGCGCCGACCUCGCCGACGUGCUGCGCUACCACGUCCUCCUCGAGUACCUCUCCCCGCCCGACCUCGCCCGCGUCCCCGCCUCGGGCAGGCUCGUCACCACGCUCUUCCAGACCACCGGCCGCGCGCCCUCCGACCUCGGCGCCGUCAACCUCACGGCCACUGCCGCGGGCGGCGGCAGCAGCAGCUCCGCCGUCGUCGUCCGCUCGCCGUCCCCGUCCCCGGGGUCGAACGCCACCGUCCUCGGCGCCGUGACCAGGGAGCCGUACAACCUCAGCGUGCUGGCCGUGGGCGGCCUCAUCGUGCCCUCCGGCUUCGACAUCGCCGCGUCGGGCUCCGAGACCCGCCCGUCCCCGGCGGUGAACAUCACCCGCGUCCUCACCGACGCGCGCGGCUUCAACGUGGCCGCCUCCAUGCUCGAGGCCUCGGGCGUGGCGGACGACUUCGAGGCCGACGAGCGCGGCGCCGGCAUCACCAUCUUCGUCCCAACCGACGACGCCUUCGCGGCCCUCCCCGCCACCGACCGCCUCCAGUCCCUCCCCGCCGACCGCAAGGCCGUGGUGCUGCGCUUCCACGUGCUGCACUCCUACUACCCGCUGGGGUCCCUGGAGUCCAUCGUGAACCCCGUCCAGCCCACGCUCGCCACCGAGUGCACCGAGGCCGGCCGCUUCACGCUCAACAUCACGCGCUUCAACGGCUCCGUCGCCAUCGACACCGGCGUCGUGCAGGCGUCCAUCACCCGCACGGUGUUCGACCAGAAUCCCGUGGCGGUCUUCGCCGUCUCCAAGGUCCUGCUGCCCAAGGAAAUGUUCAGCCGCGGGAACACCAUUAACCCCGGAGCUGCCACCCCUCCCGCCACCAUGACCCCAGACGUCUCCGAUGGCCCGCGGACGCCGCCGACGAAGCUGUCGUCCCCGCCGGCCCUGCGCGGCCAGGACAGCAAGCCAUCAUCAGCACCAGCAAGAAACGCGAACUGGUGGUGUACAGGAAUAGGAUUGGUCUGCCUGCUCCUACCUCUGCUAUGA